UACAGAGGGGGCAAGCGUUAUUCGGAAUUAUUGGGCGUAAAGGGCGCGUAGGCGGCCUGACAAGUGGAAGGUGAAAUCCCUCGGCUCAACUGAGGAACUGCCCUCCAAACUGUUUGGCUUGAGACCGGGAGAGGUGAGUGGAAUUCCCAGUGUAGCGGUGAAAUGCGUAGAUAUUGGGAGGAACAUCAGUGGCGAAAGCGACUUCCUGGACCAAUACUGACGCUCAUGUGCGAAAGCGUGGGGAGCAAACAGG
rnacentral:rRNA from 1 species